UACGUAGGGGGCGAGCGUUGUCCGGAAUCAUUGGGCGUAAAGCGCGUGUAGGCGGCCCGGUAAGUCCGCUGUGAAAGUCCAGGGCUCAACCCUGGGAUGCCGGUGGAUACUGUCGGGCUCGAGUCCGGAAGAGGCGAGUGGAAUUCCUGGUGUAGCGGUGGAAUGCGCAGAUAUCAGGAGGAACACCUAUUGCGAAGGCAGCUCGCUGGGACGUUACUGACGCUGAGACGCGAAAGCGUGGGGAGCAAACAGG
rnacentral:rRNA from 1 species